rnacentral:rRNA from 2 species
UAGGGAAUCUUCGGCAAUGGACGAAAGUCUGACCGAGCAACGCCGCGUGAGUGAAGAAGGUUUUCGGAUCGUAAAACUCUGUUGUUAGAGAAGAACAAGGACGUUAGUAACUGAACGUCCCCUGACGGUAUCUAACCAGAAAGCCACGGCUAACUACGUGCCAGCAGCCGCGGUAAUACGUAGGUGGCAAGCGUUGUCCGGAUUUAUUGGGCGUAAAGCGAGCGUAGGCGGUUUCUUAAGUCUGAUGUGAAAGCCCCCGGCUCAACCGGGGAGGGUCAUUGGAAACUGGGAGACUUGAGUGCAGAAGAGGAGAGUGGAAUUCCAUGUGUAGCGGUGAAAUGCGUAGAUAUAUGGAGGAACACCAGUGGCGAAGGCGGCUCUCUGGUCUGUAACUGACGCUGAGGCUCGAAAGCGUGGGGAGCAAACAGG